GUUGUUAAAGUAAGAACACGUAUGAGAGUAACUAGUUCAUACGUUGACGGUAGUUUAACCAGAAAGUACACGGCUAACUACGUGCCAGCAGCCGCGGUAAUACGUAGGUGGCAAGCGUUAUCCGGAGUUUAUUGGGCGUAAAGAGAGUGCAGGCGGUUUUCUAAGUCUGAUGUGAAAGCCUUCGGCUUAACCGGAGAAGUGCAUCGGAAACUGGAUAACUUGAGUGCAGAAGAGGGUAGUGGAACUCCAUGUGUAGCGGUGGAAUGCGUAGAUAUAUGGAAGAACACCAGUGGCGAAGGCGGCUACCUGGUCUGCAACUGACGCUGAGACUCGAAAGCAUGGGUAGCGAACAGGAUUAGAUACCCUGGUAG
rnacentral:rRNA from 1 species